AAAGGGGUUGGGGUGGACUGAUAGUGUGUGUGCCCAAAGAGCUGAUUGGAACUGAAGAGCGCAGACAAGGCUAUGCACCAAGAGCUGAUUGGACUGAAGAGAGCAGAUAAGGCCAGUUCAUCGGCAGCUGCCAGGGGCUCUCUUCUCUCAACGUCCAGGUUUUCUGCCAGCUAUCACGACAAAUUUAUAGAUUCAUUUUAAAUAAACAAUUGAGUGUGAAGUCA